CUGACAUGGCCUUCUCCUGGAAAGGUUGCUAAGGAGGAGCUCACAAUACCCCACCUCUCCUUGAGGAUGGACACACAGUUAACAGUUGCUGCAGAGAAGAGAGAGAUUCUGAACCUGAAAACUUAUCUACCAGCUAAAAUUUAUUUGCAGGCUGAAAGGCCAUGCUUCUGCAGAUUUCUUGGGUACGUGCACAGCAGUGGAAACCGAGCUACCUCACAAAGUGACAGAACACACACUGCCUCCUUACUGUCCCUCGGUGACUGACACUUCUGUGCUUUAUCUGGUGGAGUCCGCCAAUGUUACUAAGCAUGAGAAGGUCACUGUGAGCCUUAUGGACAAAAUACUUGUUAGAGCGUCUUUCUUGAGCCUUUCUGGUAUUAUCGUCCAUAAGUUCCACAUUCACCAAUCAACAAUACAUAGUACCUUUAACACAGUUCACAUAUAACAGCAUGAGCAGGGGCUGAUAAGACGAUGGGGACCCCAGACCUCCAGGCACCUAAGCCUGACUGUGCUCAAGGCGCAAUGGUUUCCUGCUCCCUACGUGGGUACCAAGCCUUCAGUGUCGUACAAGCCUGUGUGGAGUAGGGUCAGUCACCUGAGAACAGCCACAUCUCAAUUAGCUUCCCCUGUCAUUUCCUCCACCAUCGCUUCCCACUCUUUGCUGCCAUCCUCGUUAAUGGGUUGGAGCUUCACGGGAUGAAAUCUGCCCAUGAAAUGAAUCUCUCAAACACACUUUGUUUUUCCCUGUGUGAAUCUAUGCUAAAUGAAUUUAUUUUCUUAUUAUAAGAAAUAUCAGAUACCCCUUAAUGAUGACUGCCUUAGCAGGCUAAUGCUAUGUAUACGGUGAGCAAAACUAUAUAGAGGGUUUUCAAAGACAUCAGCACAAAUUGGAAAUCUUACCUUUAUUACCCAAGUCAGAGAUUUUAUUGGAGAAAAAAAUUACAGUAUGUAAAAAAUCUAAACAAGGACCAUUCAGGGUUGUGAGAAAGAAGGACUUCAGGAGUCCUGUUUGCAGUAAAAAUCUGACCAGGAAACCACGUCAUGACCUAACGCACUCAUUCCAUGUAAACCGUGCGGAGAGUAUCUCCGUGAAGGGAGACCUAAUCACCUCUUUACAAUAUAGACGGGGAAGGCAGCUUUUGGUAUGGUGAAGCCAUGUAUCAUCAACACUAUGAAGCUAGCCUAUCAGUGUAAUAGCUUCUAUAAAAUACCACAGUGAGGCUGCAAUAAGCGGAGAAAAUGGGCUACAAAUCCCAGCUAUGCUCAAGCAAGCAGUGGACCAAAAAUAAAAUAGGUAAAACUAAGCCAAGAAUUAGAUAGCACUCAUCUGGAUUCAUGAUUGGUGAGGCAAAGUUCAUAGGCUGGGCUGUUUCAGUGACUUAUUCAGAUCUAAGGGACGGUGACCAGAAAAAACAAAAGCACUCUAAUUCAGAAAAUACAUGAACUGUUGCUCUGAGACACACUAUAAAAAUCCCUACUGUGAUCACUAAGCACACCUCUGCACCUUUAAACAUGGGGAAGUCAGGAGGCUCUAUUUCACCGUGUCGCCUUUAGUCUCUCCAAAGACGUCAGAUAUUUCUACUUGAUUUUUAAAUCUUUCAGGACAUAUAAUCUGAGGUAAAAGCAAUGUCAACUUUACAUUUCCUUCCCAAUCAUAUUUAAUGUAGCCAUUAAAUGCUGACCUGACAAUCAAAUUAUACAGCAUGAAAACAUCCAAUCACAAAGACCAUCAGUUAUGGGAAUUUUAGAAAAAUAGUAAUCAUUUUAAAAUAACCAUCUUAAAAACUCAAAUGGCUUGAACUACUAAAAUGUAAGGAUUAUCACCAGUGAAAACGUUUGAUUUCCCUGCUGACUGGUGAAAAUGAGCUUACGCAAGUAUUUCUAAAACUCGAUGGCACACACGCGCUGCCAUCCUAAGGGUGACUCUCACUUUAGACACGAUGGGGACACUGGGUCCUGCAGCACUGUUGAAACAGCCGGCUCGGUCAUCUCGUCAGCUCGGAGCCAGCGAGGCAGCUAGACUAGUUCAAGGCUGACACAACCACUGGAAAUGUAGGAGCAGGUGAUGCCCUGAUGCUGACCAGUUUGUCCUCACUGUGCUGCGUGAGAGGCAGGGCUUUUGCAGUGCAGUAAAAACUACAGUAACAGGACUAAUACAGAACAAUGAUCCAAGGAUGAAGAAAGCUGAAUAAAACAAACUUCAGCAGAGAUUAUCAACCUCCCGAUUAUUCACAGCACUAGUUUAAAUCACGCUGCUACAGGAGACGCCUGUUACAAUGAACCAUGAACGGCUAGCAUCAUUUCUUAUUUACAACAGUCAGAGAUCAAGACUGAAUCUUAACCAGUCAUAGAAAUAUUAGAAUACUUGGGUUAAGUGUAGUUUUCAAUUUUCUAUCUUUAGUUACCAUUUGGCAAAGCAAGCAAUACAUAAAAAGAUCCAAUGUUUAAAAACAUAAAAGAAAAAUACAUAAAAAUACACACUGGGCCGACCUACAUCCCAGGGAAGCCUCCCCAUCAGAUUCACUUCUGGCUAAAAGAACACCAAUCCUGCAGCAAAAACAGCCCCAGGUCUGCAUCAGAGGUCGGCGAGUCAGUGCGUCCCUCCAGGGAAGAGGACAGGAGCCAGGUUCCCUCCAAUGCCAUUCCCCAGGUGUUCAAACAAAUUAAUUUAUUAGCAUUAGAAGAUCUGACUUAUAGGGGAAUCACACUGGUCCAGUUUGUAGCCUACAAAAAAAUGGAUUAUUUUUAAGUAUAACAUUAGAAUAUAAGUGAAAAAUGAGGAUGUGACUUUUUAUUCCAGAGAAAUGGAAAUAUUUCCAAUCAUGAAAUUCAAUAAAAAAGCAUGCCUACCAUUGAAGGUGGAGCCCCUGCAGAUUUCUUAAUAUUCUUUGAAGGCACUCCAUGAAGGCAACUGAGUCUAGCUUGGAAACCUGGGAAAUCAAACAGUCGAUUUAGAAGACAUAGUGACCACUAGGGCACAGAAGACCCUGUCAACAGAGAAUUAACCUAAUUUGCUGAUAGUUGUGAACACCAAGAAAACUACUGUGGAAAAUGAACUGAGGUAAGUCCCAGCAGGGCUCUUAGGUUUGACUGGCUUGCAUUCACACGCUAGAACUCUUACCAGGAAACACCAUUCUGAAGAACGCAGUAAGACAGCCAGCAUUUUCACUGAUGUCAAAAUGGGGGACUGCAGUACUUGGACUAGGAUCCAGCAAGCUUCUCUACAGCAUUCUGUGUUUCUACUGUUUCACUUUGCUCUAGCCUUUCAGUCAGUCUAUCCAGGAGGAGCCACAGGCUAAGGGGAUCAGCACCCAGGGAGAGCUACUGACCUCUUCUGCCAGGAUGUGACAUGAGAGGGAAGGAGCCACUUAAGAUGCUCUCAAACACGGGGUCGGGGAGGUUGGUGUCCAGCUCUACGGGGCCUUCCUCUUCCCACCAGGGCGCGACUCCAGCAAUUCCACAGGCUCCGCCCGACUCCUUCUCAUAGAACCAGUCGCUCUGCUCAUCGUCACCUGAACAAAGACAAAACCCACCCAAGAGUCAGGCUUGUCACGGCAAUAGGUAUUCCAGGGACGACAAUCAGUCACUGAUGUGAUGAGAGGAACCUAGCAGGCUGCUAAAAUGACCCUCAAAUCCACCUAACCUCAGGGAGCAGCAACAUUUUACCUUUCUCUUAAGGAAUUACUAAGAGCUAUAAAGAGACAAACAUAUAAAAAUGAUUAAAUAUAGAAUGUAGACAGCUUAAAAAAUAAGAAAAAGUAAUAUUUGAAAGAGUGUCACUAACUGUGCCUGAGAUCCCAAGGAGCCUCGAGUGCUGUGGCUUGCUUGGCAGAGUUUCCACUCAUGAGCUUGCCCUUUGAAGGACUCCUGACUUUGAAAUUUCUUACUAUUAAGAUGAAAACUGCAAUCAUGAAACAAAAGCAGUGCAAAGAAGCCCAAAGUUUAGCUGAGGAUGAUACACGAGAAACAGAUAAACAGUUAAAAGCAACUGUAAAGUGAGAAUCACAAGACUUUAAAUUAGAGAACAAAAAUAUUUUGUUAAAAAAUUAAAAUUUAUAAAACUUAAAUAUUAACAUUUCAUAGAAGAGGUAAAUUAAAAUGUCACAGAGCAGGUCUAUAAAAUGCAAGCAGGGACUCACUUGACUUUCUUGUACCUGAAUUGUCAUUAGCACAACAUAACCAGGUAUGGACACAAGCCUAAUCCCACCACUGCACUUGGAAGGCACGGCUGAAGAAGGCAAGUUACAUACACACAGAACCUGUCCCAAAAAGGAAAGCAAAAACUACUCUGGAAAAAUGAAGUUAUUUGACCUCACUUUUAUAUGAUGUGCAACCAUACUGUGAAAAGUAAAUCAACAGUCAUUAAGAGCAUGGGCAAGGACAGGAUGGGUGAGGUAAAACUCUACCUCCUGUAACAUGGAGAAAGCCACUUCCGCUGGAUUAGUUCCCCAUUCAAAAUAAAUAAAUAAAAACUGGAACUCACACAGUUCUUAAUGAAUGAAAUGAAACGAGAACAAGGUAAAUGAAUUGAUAGAAAAUCCCUCAGCAACAUGAGAUGCAGCGAACUCACAAUUUCUGUGUUAUUUCUUCUGAAAGCCAGUGCUUCUAAAGAGUACCAGGCUGGCCAAGAAGUUCUUUUUACUAAAGUUUAGCGUUUUGUUUGAUCAUAUCAGCAUCUGUAAGCCGGGCAAGGUCUGUAUUUUAACAAAAUUUGAGUCUAUUAUCCAGGUACCUCUCCUGACAUGCUCCUGAGAAAGCGCACAGAUGUGGAAAGAGCAGUCAUCGAUGUGUGUUCCUCACCAAGGAGGUCUGCGAGACAACAUGGGCACCAUUACCCAUCUAAGGCAAUAAAUACUCUGUUUCUUUCUGUAGAUC